GAAAGGAGAAGCCAAAAGUACUUGCUUUUUUUACAUUUGACAAGAUGGUUCUGAAGAAGUCCGAUACUCACUUGAUUCCCUCAUUAUUCCUAAUGCUAUUGCUCUUCUCGUCAGAAAUAGCGUUUGCCAGAGUUUUAAGAAUUCCCAAAAUCAAAGAGAAGAUCAGCACCUUCAGUAGGCUACAUCUGCAAAAGAAGAUCGAAGCCAGGGGUAACGAUCGGAAUUCCAAACAAAAUUGUGAGGUUGAUCCCUUAAACCGUAAUCAUUGUGGACGGUGAUUAUUUUUUGGAGCCAAAUAAUUAAUCGAUGAUCUCUCACAGACGUACGUAAGACCCAGCCAUCUGUACUAGCUAGAAGGAUAAGUGAGAGAGAUCAUCGUCAAAAUAGUUUCAUUAAGAUGUAGAGAACUUGAUUGAGAUCGUUAUUUAACUAGUACUUCUGUUAUUGAUGCAAAAUAAUAAGGGUUGCAAGGCUGAAGACAAUAGCAUCCGGUAUCACAGAUGCUGCUGUUCUUUUAGGCUAUCUUCAGUUGUGGAGGGAUAUAAUCACUCUUGGGCUAAAAUUUAGCCCUUUGAAUAUCAUUGGAAAAUUGUAUUAUUCCAAAAUA